rnacentral:rRNA from 1 species
AUGGGCGCAAGCCUGAUCCAGCAAUGCCGCGUGUGUGAAGAAGGCCUUCGGGUUGUAAAGCACUUUUAUCAGGAGCGAAAUACCAUCGGUCAAUACCCGGUGGGGCUGACGGUACCUGAGGAAUAAGCACCGGCUAACUUCGUGCCAGCAGCCGCGGUAAUACGAAGGGUGCAAGCGUUAAUCGGAAUUACUGGGCGUAAAGGGUGCGUAGGCGGUUGUUUAAGUCUGUUGUGAAAUCCCCGGGUUCAACCUGGGAAUGGCAAUGGAUACUGGGCAGCUAGAGUGUGUCAGAGGAUGGUGGAAUUUCCGGUGUAGCGGUGAAAUGCGUAGAGAUCGGAAGGAACAUCAGUGGCGAAGGCGGCCAUCUGGGACAACACUGACGCUGAAGCACGAAAGCGUGGGGAGCAAACAGGAUUAGAUACCCUGGUAGUCCACGCCCUAAACGAUGCGAACUGGAUGUUGGUCUCAACUCGGAGAUCAGUGUCGAAGCUAACGCGUUAAGUUCGCCGCCUGGGGAGUACGGACGCAA